AUUGAACGCUGGCGGCAGGCUUAACACAUGCAAGUCGAGCGGGGGAGGUUGCUUCGGUAACUGACCUAGCGGCGGACGGGUGAGUAAUGCUUAGGAAUCUGCCUAUUAGUGGGGGACAACAUUCCGAAAGGGAUGCUAAUACCGCAUACGCCCUACGGGGGAAAGCAGGGGAUCUUCGGACCUUGCGCUAAUAGAUGAGCCGAAGUCGGAUUAGCUAGUUGGUGGGGUAAAGGCCUACCAAGGCGACGAUCUGUAGCGGGUCUGAGAGGAUGAUCCCCCACACUGGGACUGGGACACGGCCAAGACUCCUACGGGAGGCAGCAGUGGGGAAUAUUGGACAAUGGGCGGAAGCCUGAUCCAGCCAUGCCGCGUGUGUGAAGAAGGCCUUUUGGUUGUAAAGCACUUUAAGCGAGGAGGAGGCUCUUAAGGUUAAUACCCUUGAUGAGUGGACGUUACUCGCAGAAUAAGCACCGGCUAACUCUGUGCCAGCCGCCGCCGUAAUAC
rnacentral:rRNA from 1 species